rnacentral:tRNA from 1 species
GAGUGUGACUCAAUGGUAGAGCACUUGCCUAGCACACAAGAGGCCCUGAGUUUGAUCCUCACCACCA